rnacentral:tRNA from 1 species
AGCCCGAUAGUGUAGCAGCCAAGCAUGAUGGGCUUUGGACCCAUCGACCUCGGUGCGAAUCCGAGUCGGGCUA